rnacentral:rRNA from 1 species
AUGAUACAUGCAAGUCGAGCGGACAGAAGGGAGCUUGCUCCCGGAUGUUAGCGGCGGACGGGUGAGUAACACGUGGGUAACCUGCCUGUAAGACUGGGAUAACUCCGGGAAACCGGAGCUAAUACCGGAUAGUUCCUUGAACCGCAUGGUUCAAGGAUGAAAGACGGUUUCGGCUGUCACUUACAGAUGGACCCGCGGCGCAUUAGCUAGUUGGUGAGGUAACGGCUCACCAAGGCGACGAUGCGUAGCCGACCUGAGAGGGUGAUCGGCCACACUGGGACUGAGACACGGCCCAGACUCCUACGGGAGGCAGCAGUAGGGAAUCUUCCGCAAUGGACGAAAGUCUGACGGAGCAACGCCGCGUGAGUGAUGAAGGUUUUCGGAUCGUAAAGCUCUGUUGUUAGGGAAGAACAAGUGCAAGAGUAACUGCUUGCACCUUGACGGUACCUAACCAGAAAGCCACGGCUAACUACGUGCCAGCAGCCGCGGUAAUACGUAGGUGGCAAGCGUUGUCCGGAAUUAUUGGGCGUAAAGGGCUCGCAGGCGGUUUCUUAAGUCUGAUGUGAAAGCCCCCGGCUCAACCGGGGAGGGUCAUUGGAAACUGGGAAACUUGAGUGCAGAAGAGGAGAGUGGAAUUCCACGUGUAGCGGUGAAAUGCGUAGAGAUGUGGAGGAACACCAGUGGCGAAGGCGACUCUCUGGUCUGUAACUGACGCUGAGGAGCGAAAGCGUGGGGAGCGAACAGGAUUAGAUACCCUGGUAGUCCACGCCGUAAACGAUGAG